GUUGCUAAAAUGAAGAUGUGGGGAAUAUUUUUAUUCGUCAUCACAGGAAACGGGCCAGUUUAAAAAGGGAUUCUGGGUUUAUAGAGUCGGCUUGUUUAUUCAACAAUUUAGUUCUUGCAUAAUAACCCAGGCAAGUAUCAGCCACAUAGAUGCAGUCUGAAGAUUUUUUUGAUGGUGUCAUAUUUAUAUUAGUCGUAUUUCAAAUUUAUUUCAACAGAUCCUGCAAUAAUAUAUUUUGUUCCGUUUUUUUAAUGUUCUGGAGAAAAAAUGAAAGUGUGACUAUUAUUUUAGGAAGGUGACUAUGGAAUAGUAGCAGUUUUUCUAACCAUACUGAGUGCAUGGCUGCAUGACUCAGAGUGCUGACACAGCAUGUGAGCAUGGAAAGACAAGACCCGCAGUCAAUUCUGGGGUCAGAGGUCACCGCUUCCUCGAUAAACCUCCGGAGACGCAGCGUGAGGAUCGGCUACCUUUGAUCAAUCGGAUUUUGAGUUUCGAACCGGAAGCAGGAGAGUGAAUUUGGCCGUGACUCUUUCAAACACACAAAAAUAUCUUUUUGUAGUGCAUGAUUGACACAAAGUAUAAUUACAGAAGCAAUUACAGGCCAUUACAACGUCCGUAUAGUGUCUGAGAUGUCUGGCCUGUCAAAUCAAAGGGAAAUACUGCAUGUACCUGUACAUGUGUACAUUCUUCACAAAUGAUAUGAAGCUUAGAGGUUUUCUUAGCCGAAGACAAAAAAAGAAAAUCUCUUCACCCCCUCCUCCAUCUUUUCCGCCUGACAUGUUGAGCAUAAGUCGUGGCACUGUGACUUAUCCACUCGACACGACACAGCAAGUUUCUGGAUAACUACAACAAGGCUGAUUUGUUCCCCCAGUAGUAGAUGAGGGAAUAUUAGCACAAAGCUGCUGCCAAAGGCUUUCCAUGUGAAUGAGAGGCAGCCGCACACAAGACGUGCGUGUGGCACAGCUAAAAGACGGCAUGGGAGCGAGGAAACUCAGGUAACCGAGUAGCAGAGACAUGCAUAAAAGAAUAUUCACACACAAGGCAGUGGGUUGCAAAGGGUUGAGGCACCCCAGCUGCCGAGGCCCCCGGUGAGGUGAGGAGGUCAGGAACAUUACCCUCCAUUUGUAAAGGAGAGAGUAGGCAUGUCCAACAAGUCCCACCUGCCACUAUAUUUAUGAAAUUACUCAUUGGAGGUUUUGGCUUCCAUCGGGCUUUACACUGGAAAGUCUUCGGAGCAGAAAGAAACACAAGUCAACCUCUUCCAAGCAUUCAGGCUCUAGCAACACCUAAUAGAUUUUCCCGACGGACAACGGUUAUUCUAAUUGAAUCCACACACAGUAGGCAGUAUUGCGGCUAAAUUCCCACUAAUGCAAGAGCCGCCGGUACGAGGUGGGCCCUUUUCACAUACUGAUCCUAUUGGACUCUGCUUAAUUUAACAGAAUCACUAAAAUGCUUCUCACACAUGUACAAACACACACAGGUUCUCACAGCGUAUAUUUAGACAUGUAAUCCUCUGCGAAGCUCACAGCGGACGGCGCGGCUCAAAGACCCCUGGCUGCGUGUACAAUAAGGGGGACUUAUUGAAACAAGGCUGGCACUGAGAGCGCAGCAGUGGGGGGAUUUAUUUGGAGAACAGCAGCGCACUGGCUAAACUUUGAUCAGCCCUCGUGCACUGCCGCCCUUUUCUCUUUCUCCCAGACACGGGCUGGCCGGUGAACGCCGGGGGACUAUGGAGGGGCUUGUCUCUUGGCAACAGCGACAAGCUUGACUCUAACUUUUAUUUUGAUUGCAUUUAAUGGGUGCAAGUGACUUCAUAUUUUUCAAUUGACAGCUCUAUACUAUAUUUAACAUUUAUCGCAAAGAUUGCAUGGCGUCUUCAAUCGUGGCGCCCCACAGAGUGGAAAAACUCCACCGGCAGCUUUGCUCCUCUUAACCUGGAAAAAAAAAAACAUUGUGCAAACUUGACCUUGUGGGUUCUUAGUGCUGUAAUGACACCCGGUCUCUUUGUUGUGGGCCAAACGUGACGGUUAGCUUAGGCGGAAUGAUACUCAUCAGACUGCGGUGGAGAGAGACACUUCAUUUGGAAUUUUCGAGCAAGGGAACAGAGAUCAGAAGGUCAGAGCACUCUGCAAACUCCUAAAGCAGCAUCAGAGAUGAAAGUUAGCCUGAAUAAUCCCGUAAAGUGCUCAGACGGAGCAGAAAUUCGCCCGAGGGAGGUCUCCACAAUGUGAGCCCAACCCCCUCAAUAGACACAAAGACACUUCACAUCCAUUAAAAGUAUUAGCAAUUAGAAGACGGGCGAGAACGUAAGCGACCGGUGUUCGUUUGGACUGCCGAUGAGCCAAAAGUCUUUCUCUGACAUUUUCGACAGGAUGCCUCGUCACUAAUCGACUGCUGAGUGACUAGUCGUGGCAUGCUGUGUUCCGUUUCCCCUCCUUAUUCCCAGCCCUUCCCUCCGUGCGCCCCAGUCAACAUAGAUAAACACUCCCAGACAUAUAAAGGACCAACGUAAGAGACUAAUGGAGCUAAAAGCCCCAAUGAAAAAGAACACCGAGCUCAUAAACGUCAUGCCGUAACCAGUCGAACAAACAAAGCGCCGAAGACGGUUGGCUUGUGUUUACUUACUUCUACUCAAUGACAAGGGAUGCAUGCCGCGAGAUGGAGUCCCUUUAAAACUCCUCAUAAAGUUCGCCUAAAAGGUUCAAUUGGAGGAUGAGCCCAUCGGUGUCGUGACAUGUCAGAGUGACUUCAUUGUUUUGAAGACCAAAAUGAGUCACUGCCUUUAAGUUAGAAGUCCUUUGUUGGGGUUUGUGAUUUAUUUUCAGGUUUUAAUUUGUCUGAAAUUCCAAAAUAAGGAAUAGUUUGAAAAAGUACAAAUAAGAGCAAGAAGAAUAGAUCAAGAAUUUACCGUAUUUUUUGGGCUAUAGGCACUUAAAAUCAUUUAGUUUCUUUUAAAAAAAAAAGACAGUGUGCUUUAUAAUCAUGGACGUCCAAUUGAAGUUAAAUAAAGUGACUUAUCUGCUGUACUGAUUUGUUUCCCUUUAUUGGCAGUAAUCUGCCUUAUAACCCAGUGCGCCUUAUAUACAGAAAAUUCCCAAAACAGAGACUGCACCUUAUAUUCUCAUAAACCAUACAGUUCAAAAAUAUGGUAAAUGAAAUAUACAGACUCAGGUAACUUGAAUAUUUCCUAUUUAAAAAAAUUCUAAAUAAAUGUUUCAUUUAAUAUAAAGAGCCUCAGUAUAUUAGCAAGUAUGUUCAAGCACAAGGAAUAUAGUUGACAAUAGUUAAAGUCUUACGAGUACAAGUACAUCAUGGGGCUUUUACGUUCCCAUUAUAAAAAAGAAAAAAAAAAAUAGUACAAACCCCACCCUGGCCUUUGGCCCCGGGAGCAUGUCUGUAGCCCAAACAACUCAACUAUGUUGCAGCCAGUGUGGUUUGAAUUACAAGCUCAAAGGAUAGUUCAAGUUUAUGUGGACGGGUGGGUUAAGAGGUACAGACACUGGGGGUUGGAGGGAGGGGGGGUGCUUGAAUCCCUGUCAGAUCUGGGCGACUGCUUUAUUUGAUGUGUGCCAGGCAGGCUGGUUCUGUCACUCAGCCUGAGUUGGGCAUCCUUUGAGAGGGGCUCAGCUUCAAAGUGCUGAAAAGACCACCGUGGAGAAAAUGGAGUCGGCGCGGGGGAUGAUGAUGGCAUCACAGCACCUUGAGGUCAACAGUAACCAUGAGCAGACUUUUUCUGAUGUGGGAAGAAGAUAACGCCUCACAUGGUGAAAAGGAGGCCCGGAGCCAACACAACAUCAACAUUAUUGGACAGAUUUGUCUCUGUCUCUCUAACCCUUCAACAACAACAAUGACUGUAUUCAUUUGUGUGCACGUUCAAAGUAAUAUCAGUCACGUAUGAGCUGGACAAACGCUGAGAGACUUUUCUUGUAAAGCGGGAAAUCAAACGGCAGGAUUUAUCAGCGAGACAUGGUCGCAUUCCUCAACGACUGUGUUUGUUGUUUUAAAGUGCAGGCAGUGAAGGAGGCUGAUGCUGCGUAUUAAAUAUUAUUUGAGCGACUAUUUAGAUUAAGACGGUGGAGGGGAAAAGGGUUUAAUCAUCUCUGGACACUCCAUUAGGUACAGUAAUCUGUCAUGAUGAAGAUGAUUCCGUUUUCAGAGAGUUUAAUCACAUGUAUAGGAAUUCAAACGGCCACUGCCCUUUAAACUCCACUGAUGUUUUACUGCUAAUAAAAGGUGUUAACAACAAUUCCCUGGAGCUAGCGAGAGAGUGAGUGGAUAUGAAUGUGUACAUAAAUUCAAAGCGUUUAAACGUCCAGUUAGCAAAUAUGAAGUAAAAAAAAAUGUUGCAUUCAUUGUUUGAGAACCUGACCUGGCCUCAGGGGGGGCAUCUCCUCUUGACAUCCAGACAAAGACCUUCUUAAAAGACUGGGACGGAAGAGAGAGAAAUGAAGGGGACCCCCAUCAUGUUUGCUGACACAAGCCCAGCUGACGCCAUCACUCAGGGGCAUGAUUCCAUUUGUGUGGGAGUGUCCAAAAUGAAAUUAUAAACUGGAGGUCAAGUUGGAUAUGUCUCAUUCAUGCAGUAUAAACUUUUUUUUUUUUUUUAGGACCUAUCGGUAAAUAAUGUAGUAGUGUAUCAUUGGAUAUUAUGGAGAGAUUUUCGUACUCAAAAUAAUAGCACUCGAUAUGAAGAAACUGGAGUUGAGAUGAUUCAACAGAUGUGUUUUGGUUGGACUCUGCCUAGUUGGACAUUUAACUUUCCUCAAAACACCAAAGGAAGACCUGAUACGGAAGCGAGCCAUCCAAAAAUACACACACCACAUAAUCCUGAGCCAGAAGAGUUCCUGUCUUCUUUGUAUUUAGUACCCCCCCAUUCAAACCUCACAAGCGGUUUCUUGAUGUGUUCCUGUGUAUACCCUAGACACUUCCCUCUUUACAUCCCCUGCCUCUCUUUCUCCCUGCUUCCUUUCUGAGGAAAACAGACAAGCCUUUAAUAAAAAAAAAAAUAGUCUCUUGUGUUACUGGGAUUGACUGAAUAAACAAGGCAAUGGUUUCCAGCUCUGACCACACGCAU